rnacentral:piRNA from 1 species
UAGUAGCUAAUAUGACCUGUGUGAUAGC